rnacentral:rRNA from 1 species
AUGUUCUCGUCGCAGUCACUCAGCCGCGUCAACAACAUCUGCACAGCGCGAACAACGCGCAGAAGGGAAAUCAAUCGGUGGCCUCCUAAUUCACCGCCAUGCGAGGCCUUGCCGAUGAACUCGCCGCAGCCGGCAAGGCCAUCUAGGAUGACGAGCUCAUGUCCUACAUCAUUCACGGGCUGGACCAAGAUUACCUGCCCCUGGUCUCUGCUUUGGACGCCCGCACUACUCCGGUAA